rnacentral:rRNA from 1 species
UACGGGGGGAGCAAGCGUUGUUCGGAUUUACUGGGCGUAAAGGGCGCGUAGGCGGCCACCGCAAGUCGACCGUGAAAUCUCCGGGCUUAACCCGGAAAGGUCAGCCGAUACUGCGGGGCUAGAGUGCAGAAGGGGCAACUGGAAUUCUCGGUGUAGCGGUGAGAUGCGUAGAUAUCGAGAGGAACACCUGCGGCGAAGGCGGGUUGCUGGGCUGACACUGACGCUGAGGCGCGAAAGCUAGGGGAGCGAACGGG